UAGCCAUUUAUAAAGUAUACUUUUAUUAUAAACAACUGAAAGUUUAUGGUAGAUGCCAUAUACAAUUGUCUGAAUUAUCUGUAGUAUAAACAUCUGAAUAUACAAAAAUUAGGAAACGAUAGGAAUUCAGCAAAAGGGACUUUAAUAUUUACUUUGCUUACAUUUUAUUUUUUGCUUAAUCCUUUAGAAUCCAAAGGCCCUAUUGUGCCUUUAAAUGUAGCUGACCAAAAGCUUCUUGAAGCUAGUACACAGUUUCAGAAAAAACAAGGAAAGAAUACUAUUGAUGUCUGGUGGCUUUUUGAUGAUGGAGGUUUGACCUUAUUGAUACCUUACCUUCUGACGACCAAGAAAAAAUGGAAAGACUGUAAGAUCAGAGUAUUCAUUGGUGGAAAGAUAAACAGAAUAGACCAUGACCGGAGAGCGAUGGCUACUUUGCUUAGCAAGUUCCGGAUAGACUUUUCUGAUAUUAUGGUCCUAGGAGAUAUCAAU
rnacentral:sRNA from 1 species